rnacentral:rRNA from 1 species
GAUGAACGCUGGCGGCGUGCCUAAUACAUGCAAGUCGAGCGAACGGACGAGAAGCUUGCUUCUCUGAUGUUAGCGGCGGACGGGUGUGUAACACGUGGAUAACCUACCUAUAAGACUGGGAUAACUUCGGGAAACCGGAGCUAAUACCGGAUAAUAUUUUGAACCGCAUGGUUCAAAAGUGAAAGACGGUCUUGCUGUCACUUAUAGAUGGAUCCGCGCUGCAUUAGCUAGUUGGUAAGGUAACGGCUUACCAAGGCAACGAUGCAUAGCCGACCUGAGAGGGUGAUCGGCCACACUGGAACUGAGACACGGUCCAGACUCCUACGGGAGGCAGCAGUAGGGAAUCUUCCGCAAUGGGCGAAAGCCUGACGGAGCAACGCCGCGUAAGUGAUGAAGGUCUUCGGAUCGUAAAACUCUGUUAUUAGGGAAGAACAUAUGUGUAAGUAACUGUGCGCAUCUUGACGGUACCUAAUCAGAAAGCCACGGCUAACUACGUG